AUGGGGUCAGCUUCCCUCCUGUUAUGGGUGCUGCUUCUCUGGGUUCCAGGUUCCAGUGGGGACAUUGUGCUGACCCAGUCUCCAGAUUCUCUGGCAGUGUCUCCAGGGGAGAGGGCCACCAUUUCUUGCAGGGCCAGCCAGAGUGUCAGCAUAGUUGUCACUAAUUUAAUGCACUGGUAUCAACAGAAACCAGGACAGCCUCCCAAACUCCUGAUUUACCAAGCAUCUAAUCUGGCGUCUGGAGUCCCAGCCAGGUUCAGUGGCAGUGGGUCAGGGACAGAGUUCACCCUCACCAUCAAUCCCGUGGAGGCCGAUGAUGCUGCGCACUAUCACUGUCAGCAGAGUAAGGCGCUUCCUCCACAGUGCUCUAGGCCUAAACAAAAACCUCCUGGGCCUGCUGCUCACAAAAGCUCUCAGCUCUCUCUUCCUUCAGGAUGUCUCAGUUAUAGUUUCUAG